rnacentral:rRNA from 1 species
UGCCUAAGACAUGCAAGUCGUACGAAGUAGCCCAAAGAAGUGGAGUGCUUGCACGAAGCGGACUUGAAUCACUACUUAGUGGCGGAAGGGUGAGUAACACGUGGGUAAUCUGCCUCAGAGACUGGGAUAACUACUAGAAAUGGUAGCUAAUACCGGAUGAGAGAUAGAAAGAUACGUUUUUUCUAUAGUAAAAGAAGCCUUUAAAGCUUCACUUUGAGAUGAGCCUGCGGCGUAUUAGCUAGUUGGUGGGGUAAAGGCCUACCAAGGCGACGAUGCGUAGCCGACCUGAGAGGGUGAUCGGCCACACUGGGACUGAGACACGGCCCAGACUCCUACGGGAGACAGCAGUUAGGAAUAUUCGUCAAUGGGGGGAACCCUGAACGAGCAAUGCCGCGUGAACGAAGAAGGUCCUCUGGAUUGUAAAGUUCCUGUUGUUAGGGACGAACGACCAGUAUAGGAAAUGAUACUGGAGUGACGGUACCUUUCAAGAAAGCUCCGGCUAACUACGUGCC